rnacentral:rRNA from 1 species
AAAGUAGGGGAUCGCAAGACCUUGCGCUUUUGGAGUGGCCGAUGCCUGAUUAGCUAGUUGGUGGGGUAAGGGCCUACCAAGGCGACGAUCAGUAGUUGGUCUGAGAGGACGACCAGCCACACUGGGACUGAGACACGGCCCAGACUCCUACGGGAGGCAGCAGUGGGGAAUUUUGGACAAUGGGCGAAAGCCUGAUCCAGCAAUGCCGCGUGAGUGAAGAAGGCCUUCGGGUUGUAAAGCUCUUUCAGUCGAGAAGAAAAGGUCGCGACUAAUAAUCGCGACUCAUGACGGUAUCGACAGAAGAAGCACCGGCUAACUACGUGCCAGCAGCCGCGGUAAUACGUAGGGUGCGAGCGUUAAUCGGAAUUACUGGGCGUAAAGGGUGCGCAGGCGGCUUUGUAAGUCAGAUGUGAAAUCCCCGGGCUUAACCUGGGAAUCGCGUUUGAAACUACAAAGCUAG